AAAAACAUGUCUUUUUGAAAAUAAUAAAAAGUCUAAUCUGCCCACUGAAUUUAUUUAAAGGGCUGCAGUAUAUUGACUGUACAAAGGUAGCAUAAUCAAUAGUCUUUUAAUUGAAGACUUGUAUGAAUGAUUUGAUGAAAUAUGAACUGUCUCUUUUUUAAAAAUAAAAUUUAAUUUUUUAGUUAAAAAGCUAAAAUAAUUAUAAAAGACGAGAAGACCCUAUAGAGUUUUAUAGUUAUUUAAUUUAAAAAUUUUAUAUAUAAUUUAAAUUUAAAAUUAAUUAAUUAUUUUAUUGGGGUGAUAGAAAAAUUAAAAAAACUUUUUUUAAAAAUUUAACAUUAAUUUAUGAAAUUAUGAUCCAUAAUUUAUGAUUAAAAGAAUCAAUUACCUUAGGGAUAACAGCGUAAUUUUUUUUUUUAGUACAAAUAAGAAAAAGAGUUUGCGACCUCGAUGUUGGAUUAAGAUAAAAUUUAAAUGCAAAAGUUUAAAAUUUUUGAUCUGUUCGAUCAUUAAAAUCUUACAUGAUCUGAG
rnacentral:rRNA from 1 species